rnacentral:tRNA from 1 species
UGUAGGGUGGUGAAACAGGCAGACACACCUCCUUGUCUCGGUGGCGGAGAUUCUGGGAAAGCUAUUAAAUGGUUCAACCACUCCUUGAAGGUUCGAUUCCUUCCCCUACAG